CCUUAGGACGGAAACAACCCCGGGAAACUGGGGCUAAUAUCCGAUAGGUGAGGAGGCCUGGAAUGGUUCUUAAUCUAAAAGGCGUUGAGACCAUGCUUUUCAACGUCGCCUAAGGAUGGGGCCGCGCCCGAUCAGGUUGUUGGUGGGGUAACGGCUCACCAAGCCUAUAACCGUUACGGGCCGUGAGAGCGGGAGCCCGGAGAUGGGCACUGAGACAAGGGCCCAGGCCCUACGGGGCGCAGCAGUCGCGAAAACUCCGCAAUGCGCGAAAGCGUGACGGGGCUACCCCGAGCGCCGUCCGCUGAGGAUGGCUUUUCCCCGGUGUAAUGAGCCGGGGGAAUAAGGAGAGGGCAAGUCUGGUGUCAGCCGCCGCGGUAAUACCAGCUCUCCGAGUGGUAGGGAUGAUUAUUGGGCUUAAAGCGUCCGUAGCCGGCUUAGCAAGUCUCCUGUCAAAUUCAGCGACUUAAUCGUUGAGCCGCGGGAGAUACUACUAGGCUAGGAGGCGGGAGAGGCCGACGGUAUUCUCGGGGUAGGGGUGAAAUCCUAUAAUCCCGGGAGGACCACCAGUGGCGAAGGCUGUCGGCUAGAACGCGCUCGACGGUGAGGGACGAAAGCUGGGGGAGCGAACCGGAUUAGAUACCCGGGUAGUCCCAGC
rnacentral:rRNA from 1 species